UAUUAGCAGUAAUCUUUAAAUCAUCCUUGAAGUGUAGUGUGUGAGAUAGCCAUGCUAAUGCAAUUUCAAGUUUAUUUUUAAAAUCAUCAUAUGCAAACUAGCAACCUUCUCACGGGAUAUGCACUCAAUCACACAUGUGUUUAGUUUUAAUGUGUUUCGCUCAAAGAAUCAAAUGUGAAAGUUCUACCAUAAGCUUGCAUAAAGAUCUCAUCUCCACAAUCAUAAUUACAAAACUUAAAUCAAGAGGACUUUUAUUGGAUGUAAUGAGGUUUAGGGAGAGGGUUAUUGAAAUGAAAGAAUAGGUAAACACAAGUUCCAAGCUACAUUGCAAGCAAUUCUUUUGUUUAGAUUUAUAAGAACUCAAGCUCUCUAGCAAUUAUUCUAGCACCUCCAACGACACCCUUAAACUGAAACUUUAAAAACUUUUUAUUUUCUUUGUAUACAAUCUUUCUUUUUCUUUUUCUUUUCUUCUCUUUUCUCUUUUUUUUUUUUUUUUUUUUUUAUAUACAAACAUGAAAUACCCCCACACUUAUUCUUUUGCCAAACACCUUCAAAGUACUUCAUAAACGUUUCUCAUAAGACAAUCUUGCAUUGCUCGCUUGGAAAGGGUAAGGAAAAAUGUUUCAAGUAUAAGGGUAGACAUAUCUGGUGAUAAGAAAUAAAAAGGCUCAACAUACACGGCUCAAAUUGGCAAUCUAAUGAUAUCAUUUUUCUUUUGGGAAACAUGGUUAUUUGGGCCAUAAUGGUAAACCUAAUGCCUCUAUCAUUUCCAAAUUCAUGCAAUCAAUGACAAACAUUUCGAAAGAUCGUUACGCAAGUUCUAGAGAUGUAUCUCACAUAAGUUCAUCACACAUGAAAGAAUAGGAGUGUAUGAAAAAUGCACACACUUUCAAUAGGCUCAAAAACUCACAUAGGAUAUAUAUGGUCACUAAAUUCACAUAUGAAGCUUUAAUUCAUACUUUAGUUUCACAUCAACAAGGCUAUGUGCAUUUGGUUUUUCAAAGAUGAUCAAACAUGUACAAAACUAACAAGAGAAUUAGGAAUUCACAAAACACAUGUUAACUAAGUUCUUGAUGAUCAUGGUUCAAAUUUGAUCCAAUUAUAUCAUUGGGUCGGGAAACAAAAAAAAUCUAACAAUAAGGGAAACAAGACAAUAUUUUUGGAUUUCUAAAUUUUCCGAUUUUUUUUUUUUUUAAAAAAAAAAACAAAACUAAUUAAGAAAACAAAAAGCAACAACAUGGAAACAAAUGAAACUCGUUCGUAGUUGAAGGUACAAAAAAAAUUUCAAUUUGGUCAUUUUUAUACUCUUUACCCCCAAACUUAAACUGGACAUUGUCCCCAAUGUCAGAAAACACUAUAAUGCAAUUAAAAAUAAAAUAAAAUAAAUAAUAAGAAACAAAAUAAAGCAAUUGGACUGAAAACUUCCCUAGUUUGCAGUAAAACCAAGCGAUGACCCCCCAAGCUAAAAUUCUGCAAUCAACUUUAAGGGUGGAAAGAACCAAAAAUUCCUGCAAAGAAAAGAAAUAAUUCAGUUAAGUAACGCAAGAAAAUGUAAAAAAAAAAAUUGCAAACGAAAAAUUGAAAAUCACGAUAAAAGACAAUGAAUAGAACUAAUAAGUGAUCAUUGGUCGUGCUUGUCGACUUUCCACAGCUUUCCUCUUGAACGGGGUGACACUUAGCUUUUUACUUGCAAGUGAUGAUUUGAUGAUAUUGUACGGCGAAGCUUUGCUCUUUGGUGAUGUUGCAGUUCCUUAUUUGUUCUCCAAGCAGAUGUGGCAGCUUCUCUAGUUCUUCAACUCAGACUCCUUAUGCUGGGUUGAUUGUGCAAGCUGCAUUCUUCUCUGCUUGUUUCUUCUGCACGACGGGCGGGCACGAGGUAAAGGUGUUGGUCUGUUUCUUUCUUCAAUCUUUCCAAGUGCCCACCUCUUGCUUUCUUUCUCCUUGUCCCUAGCUGAAUUGUCUCCACAUGCUUCGAGGUAUCAUUUUCACUUCCCUUACUGUUCCCCAGGCAGAUGUGGUAGACGAAGAGAAAGCAUAAAAUGAUGAAGAUGAGUACUCGAGAGCAAGGCUAGGUAAUCAAUCAGGAAGGGGUUCCAGGCAGUUGGCUCCAGAUCGAAAGAUUGAUACCAAAUGCUGGUUGAUUGCUCUCUUUCUCCUUGUCGUAAAACAAAGACAAGGAAAAGGACAGGGAGAAAGCAUGAUAUGAGAUACUCUUGCUUUCAACCUUCAUGAUAUGAAAUACUUUUGCUCUGGAUGGGUUGUUUGCAGGGGUAUCCCAGGGGAUGAAAAAUACAAAGUGACUUGAGAGGGUGUGUUGGAAAUACAUUAUCGGAGAUGAAGAAGUGGUGAGAGGGUGUUCCUUUGCUGUGGAAGGCGAAGGUAGAUACUUAUAGGACUUUUCUUCACAACCGGAACUAUUCCCUCACUCAUUGUCGGCAGCCGGUGGAUGGAUGAAUAGUACAAAUUAUGCGCUUUCUGACAAAGCUGCCCGUAAUUUCCGCAAAGCUGCCAGUUGCAUGUGACGAGUGACGACACGUCUGGACAAUUUGAUCUUUUGAAAUCCGGUGUUCGGCUCGUGGUUUCUGGGCAACCCCAUUAAGAAAUGAAACGCCUCUUUUGAGAAAAGAAUCCGACUUUUGAGACAGGAGCCCCGACUCUUCGAUUUGCGAGAGGACGCUUCUUCGAUUUCUGAGGAGCGCCUCUUUGAUUUCUUCUUUUUAUAGAUGCGCUAAUUUUGUUCCACAACACACUUGAGCUCCUUCCUGUAAACUCUCCCUUCUUGCACUUCCGAAAUCUUAAUCUGUCCGAUCUCUUCUUUCUCAACACCUUCAGAAAAUGUCUGGCCCUUCCGAUCGUCGUUUUGACUUGAACAUUGGUGAAGAGGCAGCUCCGCCUUCACCAGACAACAUAUGGCGCCCAUCCUUCAUAUCCCCUACCGGUCCCCAUACCGUGGGGGAUUCGGUGAUGAAAAAUGACAUGACCGCUGUGGUGGUGGCCCGGAACCUUGUCACCCCCAGAGAUAACAGACUGCUCGCUAGACGGUCUGAUGAAUUGGCGGUUAAGGAGUCUCUGGCUCUUAGCGUGCAGUGUGCGGGUUCUGUGUCCAACAUGGCCCAACGCCUAUUUGCUCGAACCCGUCACGUCGAAUCGUUGGUGGCUGAAAUACAGUGUCUCAAAGAGGAGAUUAGAGGACUCAAGCAUGAAAAUAAACAAUUGCACAAGCUUGCACACAAUUAUGCCACAAACAUGAAGAGGAAAAUUGACCAGCUGCAGGAAAAUGAUGGUCAGAUUUUACUUGAUCACCGAAGGUGUGUGGGUUUGUUCCAACCGCAUCUGCCUUCGUCUUCUGGGGCGGCACCGCGUAGUGAAGCUCCAACUGAUCAACCUCCGAUACCUCCUCCUUCCGUGGCCCCGCCGACUGCUGAAGCUCCACCGACUACUGAAGCACCACCUGACCAAUGAAUGCUAUUAGUUUACACAUCAUUGUAAAAUAUUUUUUUUUAAGUGUUUUUUUUUAUUUUAUUUUAUUUUAUUUUAUUUUAUUUUAUUUUAUUAAAUAUGUAAAUUAAUGUAAAAAGACUUUGUUUAACCUGCCCCCACACUUAAACUAAAUAACACAAAUUCACAGAAAUCAACCAAAUAACACAACUAACUGAACAAAACAAAAUGAAAGCAGUAAAGAUAGGGUGUAAGAAUGCAAAUCUGAUUUGGUUAGCGAUUCCAAAGUCUCCCUUCGUUGAAUGCUUGGGUUGCCUCCCAAGAAGCGCUUGAUUUAACGUCUUUAGCCGGACGAAUCUUUCCUUUAAACUCCCCUCGGCUCCAAUGCAUGGAAUUUAUCUUUUAAUGGGAGGUGAUACUUGAAAUGAUUCGGCAAUGGUUUAAAUUCAAGAGUGGGUGCCUGAAUCAUCAAAAUCAGAAACAUGUUAGUAUAAAUUAAAAUUAAAAUUGGAGAAGAUGGCUUACUUUCUUUUUCCGACACAAACUCAAUGACAAACACCACAUUUUUGAACAUUUCCGGGACUUUGAACUUGGCCAGGUUUACUAUGAUGGUUGUGGCUUGUCCCGUGUCAUCAAACUCAACUGCUUUGGGCUUGAUUGUCUCAUGCACAACCUCUUGGAUGUAUUCUUGAUAUGCUUCAACCACUUCAUUUUCUUGAAUCUCUUUUCUUGGUGUGCAAGGUUCUUUGAACGUUUCAAUACCAUCGGGAACUUGUUUUGGUGCACCAAGAAUUGGGAUAUCACUUUGCACCUUUGGAAGAGCUUCCACAAUGUCUUUUUCACUCUCUUUGAUAUUUGGAAUCAAAAACCUGCAAGGACAAAGGACAUUCGGUGGAAUAAUGUUAGAAUGAAGUGAAUUUAGAACUUCCUCACCUGAGUUGGAUGACAUAGGGAUUUGAGGAGCUUGCAGCAAGAAUUCUUCUAAACUGCCCAGGUCGUCCUCCUCCUCUUCUGCUUGCAGCAGCAGCAAUUCAUCCAUGUUCGGGCUGUGUUUGGAUAGUUCUGGGACAGCUUCAUCCUUCAUGUCACCUUCCAAAGUGAUAGCAUCGUGGAUUUCAAAAUCUUCCUUCGAAUUUUCAACAGUUGAGCUGGAGAGUUCACUUUGCUCUUGAAUUUGUACCAUGAAUUCCAUAAUCUCUCCCAUUUGACUCAUCAAUUUAUCCAACUUCUUGUCUUGAUUUUGUUGGUCCUGCGUCAAAGAGGUUAGGACUUGAAGAAUUUGAUCACUAUCCAUGGACAUACUUGAAUUUGAUUGGAAUUGUUGUGGGGUAUGCGGUGGUGGCUGCAUAGGCGUUAAACAAAACUCCUCAGAUUGCUGCCAAUAUCCAUCUUGUUGAGCCUCCUUGGCUUGAUUUUGUGAGCCCUGCACCAAAGAAUUUAAUUCAUCAAAAAUUUGAUUGUAAUCUAUUGACGAAUCUGAGUUUGAUUGGGCAUAUUGUAUGAGGUUGUGGUGGCUGCAUAGGUCCUGAAUAGAACUCCUCAUAUGGCUGCCAAUAUCCUUCAUGUUGAACUUGUCGAGCUUCCCACCACAUAGAGUUUGAAUGAUCACUCCAAUCUUUUUGUGAACAUUGAUUGGCUUGAUAUCCUUGCCUAUAAGAUGCACCAAAUAUAGGGACAUUUUGCAUUGUGGUCCUUUCGGCAUACUGCGACAUUUGAGAAGUAAGAUUUGCCAAUUGAGCUUGAAUGCUAGCAAAAUCCAUGUCUUACUUCUCUAGUACCUAAAAUCAAAGAAAGAAAACUAAAUCAAAUAUCAAAAGUAAAAUAAACAAAACAAAACAAAAACAGAAACUAAAAACAAAAGACAAGAAAAGAAACAAAGAAACAAUGGGGGAUUAGCAAAGUUGCUAAUCCCCGGCAACGGCGCCAAAAUUUGAUGCGAGAAUUACUUGACACACAAAUUUUUGACAAUUGUAGUAUAGAUGUAAGUAGGGUAUCGUUCUAGGCCGGGGAUUAGGAGGGAUUGCUAAUCUAUUAAAAAUAUUAAAUAAGACUCAAGGACACAAAACUAGGCUAAAAACUCUAAUAACUCGAAACACACUUAGAAUGACUCAAAAUAAUGAAAACAAUCAAAUUAGACACUAGGAACUGAAAUGGACGGAAAUUGAAUUAAAAGACUAACAACAAUGAAAACUAACUAAAUAAUAUAAUUUAAUAAUGGGGGGGUUUGGUUUUGACGAGAAGUAAAUUAAACUUAAAUAAAUUACAGAAUUGACAAAAGCAUGAAAUUAAGGUGAAAGGAUAGGAGUCGGACUAGCUAGAGGGUUCUUCUCCACACAUGACAUAUAUGCAACCUAAAUUGAUUUUCAGUUGUUCUUUCAAUAAAUUGUAAAUCUCAAUGUUCCAAGUUAAUUAGGUCCGCUUAAAUUAACUCUUAGAUUUCCCUAGAUUCAUUGGAUUGAAUGGAAUACGCAUUACAAUCAAAUUAUUCCUCAUCAAAAUCCCUAACUAUGGAAUACGCAUGAUAGAGACAUUCAACAAAGAUCAUUAAGUUCAACGGAAAUCAUAAACAUCUACUAGGCAUUCAUAACUAUGGAAUACGCAUGUUAAUCCAGCCUAGAAUUCACUUAACACGAUUGUGGAUAACAACCUUCACUACUUGUGAAUAUAAGUUCAUAAUGAUUAGGUGAAACUCCCUUAUAUUCUAGCAUCAAAUUCAUGCAUGAAAAUUAAGCGUGCACUCUCAACCAACAUACACAAAUUAGUUAUCAAUCAAGCAGUUAAGCAAAUUAAAUCACAACUCAGAAAUCACAACUGAAGGUAAUCAAUUCAUAUUACAAAUAUAUUCAUGGCUUUGAAUUAACCUGUAGCCAAAAUAAAUUUAGUUACACAUUAUUAAAACAGAAAUAAAAUAUAAGUUUGGAAAGAUUUAACCGGAAGAUAAGGGAGUUUUGCUCUGUCCGAGGCCUUUCUCGCUGCAAAGGCAGCAAAGCCUUUGGUUCCUUCUGCUCUGUCCCCGUGCUCUCUCAGAUUUGCUGCAAAAGCAGCGUUGUUUUCUUCUACAGCUGCCACGGGGCAGCUCUCUGACUUCUUCCUUGUUUCACGCUGCCAAGAGCAGCAAGAGCUCUCGGUUUCCUCGUCGGUUUCACCCCCAGCUGCAAAGGCAGCCCUUUGGACUCUCUGACCUGCCUUCCAUCUCCUUCUUAUUCUUUUAUUCUUUGCACUCCACUUCCUUCCUUUCAAUUAUAUUUUUCGUCCGUGCUCUCCCACUUCUUAAAAAGGCAUCCAUUUCAAUUCACAAUUAACGAUCCACUUGCUCCAUCUUUAAUUCUUUUAUUUGCUCCAUUAUUUUUCUAAUGGUCCACCCGUGUUCCACUUUCCUGUUUAUUAUUUAAACCCAUUUGUGCUAAUUUUAUUUUCUUUGCAUAACAAAUCCUAUAAACACAAAAAUAACGUAAAUAGCUCAAAAAUAUAAGGAACUAACUAAGAAAAGACGAGUGAAUUCGAAGUAAAAAUAUAUAUAAAUAUGAUCCGAUCAAAUUUAGACUAACUCAAAAUAAUGAAAACAAUCAAAUUAGACACUAGGAACUGAAAUGGAUGGAAAUUGAAUUAAAAGACUAACAACAAUGAAAACUAACUAAAUAAUAUAAUUUAAUAAUGGGGGAUGUUUGGUUUUGACGAGAAGUAAAUUAAACUUAAAUAAAUUACAGAAUUGACGAAAGCAUGAAAUUAAGGUGAAGGGAUAGGUGUCGGACUAGCUAGAGGGUUCUUCUCCACACAUGACACAUAUGCAACCUAAAUUGAUUUUCAGUUGUUCUUUCAAUAAAUUGUGAAUGACAAUGUUCCAAGUUAAUUAGGUCCGCUUAAAUUAACUCUUAGAUUUCCCUAGAUUCAUUGGAUUGAAUGGAAUACGCAUUACAACCAAAUUAUUCCUCAUCAAAGUCCCUAACUAUGGAAUACGCAUGAUAGAGACAUUCAACAAAGAUCAUUAAGUUCAACGGAAAUCAUAAACAUUGACUAGGCAUUCAUAACUAUGGAAUACGCAUGUUAAUCCAGCCUAGAAUUCACUUAACACGAUUGUGGAUAACAACCUUCACUACUUGUGAAUAUAAGUUCAUAACGAUUAGGUGAAACUCCCUUAUAUUCUAGCAUCAAAUUCAUGCAUGAAAAUUAAGCGUGCACUCUCAACCAACAUACACAAAUUAGUUAUCAAUCAAGCAGUUAAGCAAAUUAAAUCACAACUCAGAAAUCACAACUGAAGGUAAUCAAUUCAUAUUACAAAUAUAUUCAUGGCUUUGAAUUAACCUCUAGCCAAAAUAAAUUUAGUUACACAUUAUUAAAACAGAAAUAAAAUAUAAGUUUGGAAAGAUUUAACCGGAAGAUAAGGGAGUUUUGCUCUGUCCGAGGCCUUUCUCGCUGCAAAGGCAGCAAAGCCUUUGGUUCCUUCUGCUCUGUCCCCGUGCUCUCUCAGAUUUGCUGCAAAAGCAGCGUUGUUUUCUUCUACAGCUGCCACGGGGCAGCUCUCUGACCUCUUCCUUGUUUCACGCUGCCAAGAGCAGCAAGAGCUCUCGGUUUCCUCUUCGGUUUCACCCCCAGCUGCCAAGGACAGCUAUCCUUUUUCUCCUCCUGGUUCCAGCUGCAAGGUUUUGCUCCAAGUCCCCGCAAGCAGCUUUUGUUUUCUGCCCAAGGCGCCGCCAAGAGCAGCUGUCCUUCCCAACGCUGCCAAAGGCAGCUUUCCUGCUUGUUUUCUUCCAAGCUCUCGGUUCUCUCCCUUCCCCCCUAUAUGCUGCCUUCUGAUUUCCUUUUAUUUUCUGCCUUCCGUGUGGACUGUGCUCUGUCACUCUCUUUUCCGUUGUGCUUCUUCUCUCCCCCUCGUGCUUUCCCCUGUCCUUCACUAUUUUAUUUUCUUUUUCUACUGUCCAGUCCUCCCCCUUAAACAACUCAUGCUCCCAUAUUGCUCUCCUGGCUGUCCCGUACUCACCCCACAUCUGGAUCAAAGAAAAGAGUCGUGGGCUCCUCCUUGCAAGUGGCGAGAGCUGUCCUCCUCUUAUUCUUCUUUCCUCUAUUUUUUAUUCCACUGCCUUUCCCCUUUGUUUUUCACUCAACCCGUCUCCUGUCUCCCACUUCUCUCUCUCUGUCAGCUUCUUUCGUUUCUCUUCUUAUUCCCAUCAUUUUUCUUAUUUUUCUUUUCUUCUUUGCCGUUCCUCACAUCUUCUACAAAACAUAACAUCAUCAUGAUUUAUCAUUAUUAUUAUUAUUCUUUUUUAAUUUUAUUUAAAAGCUGAUCUACACAGACAAUUUUGACGAAUUUAUUACAUAAAAUUUCACUUGUUCUAUUUUUAUUUUCUUUGCAUAACAAAUCCUAUAAACACAAAAAUAACGUAAAUACCUCAAAAAUAUAAGGAACUAACUAAGAAAAGAUGAGUGAAUUCGAAGUAAAAAUAUAUCUAAAUAUGAUCCGAUCAAAUACCCCCACACUUAACUUUUGCUAGUCCUCGAGCAAAACAAAGAAAACAAGAACAAGAAGUAACAAGAAAAACAUUAGCUUCCCUUUAUGUGACCCUCAUAGAAUUUCAUUCAAGAAAACAAAUCAUCAAGAACCAUAGCUAGCAUCAAGGAACUAAUCCAAGUUCAUCUUCCUCAUUCAAAUAUUAGCAGUAAUCUUUGAAUCAUCCUUGAAGUGUAGUGUGUGAGAUAGCCAUGCUAAUGCAAUUUCAAAAUUUUUAUAUUUUUUAAAAUCAUCAUAUGCAAACUAGCAACCUUCUCACGGGAUAUACACUCAAUCACACAUGUGUUUAGUUUAAAUGUGUUUCGCUCAAAGAAUCAAAUGUGAAAUUUCUACCAUAAGCUUGCAUAAAGAUCUCAUCUCCACAAUCAUAAUUGCAAAACUUAAAUCAAGAGGACUUUUAUUGGAUGUAAUGAGGUUUAGGGAGAGGGUUAUUGAAAUGAAAGAAUAGGUAAACACAAGUUCCAAGCUACAUUUGCAAGCAAUUCUUUUCUUUAGAUUUAUAAGAACUCAACCUUUCCAACGAUUCUUUUAGCACCUCCAACCACACCCUUAAACUGAAAUUUGAACAACUUUUUAUUUUCUUUGUGUACAAUCUUUCUUUUCCUUUUUUCUUUUUUAUUUUUUUUUUAUUUUUUUAUUUUUUAUUUUUUAUAUACAAACAUGAAAUACCCCCACACUUAUUCUUUUGCCAAACACCUUCAAAGUACUUCACAAAUAUUUCUCAUAAGACAAUCUCGCAUUCCUCGCUUGGAAAGGGUAAGGAAAAAUGUUUCAGGUAUAAGGGUAGACAUAUCUGGUGAUAAGAAAUAAAAGGUUCAACAUACACGGCUCAAAUUGGCAAUCUAAUGAUAUCAUUUUUCUUUGGGAAACAUGGUUAUUUGGGCCAUAGUGGUAAACCUAAUGCCUCUAUCAUUUCCAAAUUCAUGCAAUCAAUGACAAACAUUUCGAAAGAUCGUUACGCAAGUUCUAAAGAUGUAUCUCACAUAAGUUCAUCACACAUGAAAGAAUAGGAGCGUAUGAAAAAAAAUGCACACACUUUCAAUCGGCUCAAAAACUCACAUAGGAUGUAUAUGGUCACUAAAUUCA
rnacentral:lncRNA from 1 species